rnacentral:rRNA from 1 species
AGGGUUUGAUCAUGGCUCAAAUUGAACGCUGGCGGCAGGCCUAACACAUGCAAGUCGAGCGGUAGAGAGAAGCUUGCUUCUCUUGAGAGCGGCGGACGGGUGAGUAAUGCCUAGGAAUCUGCCUGGUAGUGGGGGAUAACGUUCGGAAACGGACGCUAAUACCGCAUACGUCCUACGGGAGAAAGCAGGGGACCUUCGGGCCUUGCGCUAUCAGAUGAGCCUAGGUCGGAUUAGCUAGUUGGUGAGGUAAUGGCUCACCAAGGCGACGAUCCGUAACUGGUCUGAGAGGAUGAUCAGUCACACUGGAACUGAGACACGGUCCAGACUCCUACGGGAGGCAGCAGUGGGGAAUAUUGGACAAUGGGCGAAAGCCUGAUCCAGCCAUGCCGCGUGUGUGAAGAAGGUCUUCGGAUUGUAAAGCACUUUAAGUUGGGAGGAAGGGUUGUAGAUUAAUACUCUGCAAUUUUGACGUUACCGACAGAAUAAGCACCGGCUAACUCUGUGCCAGCAGCCGCGGUAAUACAGAGAGUGCAAGCGUUAAUCGGAAUUACUGGGCGUAAAGCGCGCGUAGGUGGUUUGUUAAGUUGGAUGUGAAAUCCCCGGGCUCAACCUGGGAACUGCAUUCAAAACUGACUGACUAGAGUAUGGUAGAGGGUGGUGGAAUUUCCUGUGUAGCGGUGAAAUGCGUAGAUAUAGGAAGGAACACCAGUGGCGAAGGCGACCACCUGGACUAAUACUGACACUGAGGUGCGAAAGCGUGGGGAGCAAACAGGAUUAGAUACCCUGGUAGUCCACGCCGUAAACGAUGUCAACUAGCCGUUGGAAGCCUUGAGCUU